GUGUUCGUUGAAAGGAGAGACGAUUGGCAUCUCCACUGAUAAGGAUAGGAAAAAUUUUCGAGCUUACUUUGUACCACACAUCUAGUUAACGUUACCCACUUCAGUAGAUCUUAUACCCAAAUUUUUA